GAUGAACGCUGGCGGCGUGCCUAAUACAUGCAAGUCGAGCGAACAGACGAGGAGCUUGCUCCUCUGACGUUAGCGGCGGACGGGUGUGUAACACGUGGAUAACCUACCUAUAAGACUGGGAUAACUUCGGGAAACCGGAGCUAAUACCGGAUAAUAUAUUGAACCGCAUGGUUCAAUAGUGAAAGACGGUUUUGCUGUCACUUAUAGAUGGAUCCGCGCCGCAUUAGCUAGUUGGUAAGUUAACGGCUUACCAAGGCAACGAUGCGUAGCCGACCUGAGAGGGGGAACGGCCACACUGGAGCUGAGAGACGGUCCAGGCUCCUACGGGAGGCAGCAGUAGGGAAGCUACCGAAAAGGGCGAAAGCUUGACGGAGGAACGGCGGGUGAGUGAUGAAGGUCUUCGGAUCGUAAAACUCUGUUAUGGGGGAAGAACAAAUGUGUAAGUAACGAUGCGCGUGUUGACGGUACCUAAACAGAAGGCCACGGCAAACUACGU
rnacentral:rRNA from 1 species